AGGUGUAGUAUAUAUAUAUAAUAUUAAUAUUCAGUUUGUUUGUGUUGUUUCUUUCUUUCUGCUUGAUCCUAAUGAGAUGACAUGUCCCUCAUUAAAUCAUGGAAGAGACGACGACAGAAAGGAGGGAUCCAAC
rnacentral:ribozyme from 14 species